UGCAGUCGAACGGCAGCACGGACUUCGGUCUGGUGGCGAGUGGCGAACGGGUGAGUAAUGUAUCGGAACGUACCCAGUAGCGGGGGAUAACUACUCGAAAGAGUAGCUAAUACCGCAUACGCCCUUCGGGGGAAAGGGGGGGAUCUUCGGACCUCCCACUAUUGGAGCGGCUGAUAUCGGAUUAGCUAGUUGGUGAGGUAAAGGCUCACCAAGGCGACGAUCCGUAGCUGGUUUGAGAGGACGACCAGCCACACUGGAACUGAGACACGGUCCAGACUCCUACGGGAGGCAGCAGUGGGGAAUUUUGGACAAUGGGGGAAACCCUGAUCCAGCCAUUCCGCGUGUGUGAAGAAGGCCUUCGGGUUGUAAAGCACUUUUGGCGGGAAAGAAACGGCGUCGACUAAUACUCGGCGUAACUGACGGUACCCGCAGAAUAAGCACCGGCUAACUACGUGCCAGCAGCCGCGGUAAUACGUAGGGUGCAAGCGUUAAUCGGAAUUACUGGGCGUAAAGCGUGCGCAGGCGGUUCGGAAAGAAAGAUGUGAAAUCCCAGGGCUCAACCUUGGAACUGCAUUUUUAACUACCGGACUAGAGUAUGUCAGAGGGGGGUGGAAUUCCACGUGUAGCAGUGAAAUGCGUAGAUAUGUGGAGGAACACCGAUGGCGAAGGCAGCCCCCUGGGAUAAUACUGACGCUCAUGCACGAAAGCGUGGGGAGCAAACAGGAUUAGAUACCCUGGUAGUCCACGCCCUAAACGAUGUCAACUAGCUGUCGGGACCUUCGGGUUUUGGUAGCGCAGCUAACGCGUGAAGUUGACCGCCUGGGGAGUACGGUCGCAAGAUUAAAACUCAAAGGAAUUGACGGGGACCCGCACAAGCGGUGGAUGAUGUGGAUUAAUUCGAUGCAACGCGAAAAACCUUACCUACCCUUGACAUGUCUAGAAU
rnacentral:rRNA from 1 species